GCUGCCAGGGAUUAUGGCGACCUCAGGAUGAGGACGGUAGAUCAGGAUGAUUUAUCGAACAUGGACUGUGAAGGGACAAUCGGAAGGAACCGAUAUGACAAGCAGGAAGUUUGUCAGUCAGGAAGACAAAACGGACCUCUUCAGGAUGAAGUAAGGGACACCUCCAGGAAGGAGAAGAGAGUCGAAACAGGAUGCUUCGACGGGUCAAGGUUAGACCGAAAGGAUAUCUCCGGGAUGGGGACUAAAGGACUAAGCUGAAGGAAACAGCAUAAUCAAGGAAUGAUGCAGGGAGCACCAUAGUAGCUGGAUUGCUGCGAGUAAGACCUAAGGGCGCGACGAAAGUCGCGCCCGCUCUUUUUUGA
rnacentral:other from 1 species